rnacentral:miRNA from 1 species
CAUGCCCCAGUCGUGUUGCAGA